AGAGUUUGAUCCUGGCUCAGAACGAACGUUGGCGGCGUGGAUUAGGCAUGCAAGUCGAGCGAAUCCCCGCAAGGGGGGAAGCGGCGAAAGGGGCAGUAAGGCAUGGGUAACCUACCCCGGGGACUGGGAUAGCCCUUCGAGAGAAGGGGUAAUACCGGGCGAUGUGACGGGCCGGCAUCGGUUUGUCACCAAAUGAGUUUCGCCCUGGGAGGGGCCCAUGUGAUAUUAGCUAGUUGGUGAGGUAACGGCUCACCAAGGCGAAGAUGUCUAGCGGGUGUGAGAGCACGACCCGCGCCACUGGCACUGAGACACUGGCCAGACACCUACGGGUGGCUGCAGUCGAGGAUCUUCGGCAAUGGGCGCAAGCCUGACCGAGCGACGCCGCGUGUGCGAUGAAGGCCUUCGGGUUGUAAAGCACUGUCGAGGGGGAGAAAAGCCGAAAGGUUUGAUCUAUCCCUGGAGGAAGCACGGGCUAAGUUCGUGCCAGCAGCCGCGGUAAGACGAACCGUGCGAACGUUGUUCGGAAUCACUGGGCUUAAAGGGCGCGUAGGCGGGUCGCCAAGUUUGGGGUGAAAUCCUCCGGCUCAACCGGAGAACUGCCUCAAAUACUGGCGAUCUCGAGGGGGAUAGGGGCAUGCGGAACUACGGGUGGAGCGGUGAAAUGCGUUGAUAUCCGUAGGAACUCCGGUGGCGAAGGCGGCGUGCUGGAUCCCUUCUGACGCUGAGGCGCGAAAGCCAG
rnacentral:rRNA from 1 species